rnacentral:lncRNA from 1 species
GUCCUUGACUGCAUGGUUUCUGCUGGUCCAAGCAACUUUCUCCUGCCACGCCUAACCUUGGAGAGCAGUGAUCAAUGGAGGAAGUGUUUCAUGGUGGACAUGGGAAACUGGCCAGAUCAACUGCUGUCACCUUCUAAGACCCAGACGGGGAGGAGGAAUGCCAGAGAAGCUGCAGACUCCCCGGACAUGGAGCCUGAGUGGAGCAGAGGUGGCCCACUGUCAGCCACAGGUCAAGUGUCAGGGUGGGGACGGGGCAGGCUCCACCAGAAGGUGGGGCCAGACCACAGGGCAAGGUGGAGAUGAGUCUGUGGCACCCCCAGGAAGUUUACCAGAUUUGCCCCAGAGCUUCUGACCCUUUGGAUCUCUCUGGGCUGCAUUCUUCAGGGUCCCGUUGCUUCUUUCUUGAAGGUGGAAGGAAAUGUUCCCAUCAGAGCCUUCCAACAGG